CCUACGGGAGGCAGCAGUAAGGAAUAUUGGUCAAUGGACGAAAGUCUGAACCAGCCAUGCCGCGUGAAGGAUUAAGGCCCUCUGGGUUGUAAACUUCUUUUAUCUGGGACGAAAAAAGGGUAUUCUUACUCACUUGACGGUACCAGAGGAAUAAGCACCGGCUAACUCCGUGCCAGCAGCCGCGGUAAUACGGAGGGUGCAAGCGUUAUCCGGAUUUACUGGGUUUAAAGGGUGCGUAGGUGGGCUUGUAAGUCAGUGGUGAAAUCUCCGGGCUUAACCCGGAAACUGCCAUUGAUACUAUAGGUCUUGAAUUAUCUGGAGGUAAGCGGAAUAUGUCAUGUAGCGGUGAAAUGCUUAGAUAUGACAUAGAACACCAAUUGCGAAGGCAGCUUACUACGGAUACAUUGACACUGAGGCACGAAAGCGUGGGGAUCAAACAGGAUUAGAUACCCUGGUAGUCCACGCCCUAAACGAUGGAUACUCGACAUCAGCGAUACACUGUUGGUGUCUGAGNGAAGANAUAGUAUCCACCNGAGUAGANCGCAGAUGAACACAAGAAGUAGACGCGUGAGACGUGCGACGGACGACGACGAGGGAGGAGG
rnacentral:rRNA from 1 species